UUCAUGCCCUCUGCCGAGUUCUGGCCAGGAGGCUUCUCGAUGAGUUCAAAUUGUUACAAAAUUCAGCUGGAGAUUUCCUUCUCCCUGUGGCCUUUUCCCAGUGCCUCUGGCCGCCCUCCUGAAGAUCUUCUCUGAGAUCAGGCAAAAACGGCUUGGUAUGGGACCCAGCGAGCUUCCAGGGGUUUUCCUGCUGCCACCUCUACCCCUGUAUUAUGCUGGGCUCUCUAAAUUGACUCAGCUCCAGGUUUCUGCAAGAUCCAGGGAAGAAGAGAAGAUACUACUAUGUGGAAGGGUGAAAAUGUGUCUUGAGUUGCAGCUCAACAGGAACAUGAGCUUGCCUUAAGUCAUCUGUGUUUCUCCCACUCCUGGCAUUGUACAGGAGUCAGAGACUAAUUACAGUGGUGAUUAUAAAGUUAAUGAAGUUGAAAAAUUCACGUAAAUAAUUAUGUCGGAAUGAAUGGGAUAAAGAAUGUGACAUACAAGACAUAAUGACUAAUUGGACACUGAAAGAGCUGAUUUUGUGGACAUUCCUUCAUGAAAAAGAGUUCAGUGAGAGAAACAACGAAGUAUCAAUCACUUGACCUGAAAUAAUGAUGGGUCUGGCAAACAAGAAAGUAAAACAUAAAGAGGGUUUAGAAGACAACUGGAUAAUAAGCAGAUUCUUUGAGAUGACACAAAGAGCAAACCCUUCAUCAAUGACGUGCAGCUUGUGGAUUUGGAUGACACGGUUCUUUAAAAGAAGCACACUGC